GCACAGUGAUGAGAUCAUGGCAAGUAUGAGCCAAUCAGGCUGAGAGAUUGUGUGCGUCUUCCUCCUGAUUGGUGGGUAAUCUUGGCAGUGUGGCGAAGAUUGGCUGCUCAGCUGUAAGGGCCCACCUAGAGUAAACUACCAGUCCUCCUCACCCUCUGCCCAUCCCAGAGAUAUGGGAGAAGGCAGGACGGAGGCUGCUGAAAGUGUUUGUCUGCUUGUCUGUGUGAGAGUAUAUGUAUCAGUUGGCAAGGAGGCACAAAUCUUUGUUGGUGGCCUUUGCUAUGGCUAUGAACAUUUUUCUUUGGUAAUCUGAGGGCA